UCAAAAUCUACUGGAAUGAUCGUAUUAACGGUUGAAAAGUUACAACAGAUGCUCAGCCUUGGAGAAAAAGGUCACCUCAGUGGUCUCCGUGUCCAGCCUCCACCAACUGCACUUCCAGCUCCUGAACGUCUCAGUUGGGCCUCAGCUGGCCUGUUUCCAUUCAGAAUCCUGCAGCAGCAAAAGUGGGAUUAAAAACGUCUCCACAAUGUCGGUGUCAAGAAGUUGGGCAGCUUGUGCAUCUGCCCACAGAAAACUACGGCUCACACACGCAGGCGUCGCAGUCCGGAAUACCUGCUUGGUUACCUGGAAACAGCAGGGAUGAAGCUGGAAGGUCAGGUGGAUCGACCGCAUGAAUUAUCAAUACAAGUCUUUGGGACGACACUCCCACACGUGCACGCUGAUGUGUGCUGCUUGUUUAAAAGAACUCACUCUGACUGUGGAUGGACCAGCUCAGGUUUCACAAUGGAAAAGUCACACCCAAGUCAGAGGAUCCUUUGA